CCAUAGCAAUGUGGGAACACUGGAUGCGAGGCAGGCAGAGCAAGCCUUCCAGGCACACCUUGGUGGAAACUGGGAUGUCCCCAGACUGGAGAAGCUGGGCUGUGUCUGGGUGAAGGCCCUUUUACCUCGAGGGUCCUGACUCAAGGCAGGGUGCGGAGUGUUGUCUCGGAGAACUGAGCGAACAGGUGUCUGGCUUCUGGAAACUGCUCAGCUGGUCUUUGAAGACAGUCUCCAAAGGGCAAUUUCAAGGGUUUUAAACAAGCUUCUCCACAUUGCAAGAAGGAAGUCUAUACAUGGAGCCCUUUCCUGGGGUGCCCACUUCUGGGUCUGGGUGCCCUCUCUUCUAAUUGGUGACUCGUUCCCUGUUUUUUCAGCCUUUGCCUUCUGUGAUUCCCAGGUGGAGAAACAAUCCUCGUGAGCUGCAGAGCUGGGACGGCUUUGAGGCUGAGAAGUGUCAGAGCAGAGGGAGGGUGGGAGAUGGAGGCUCAGGGUCUGGCCAGGAGAAGACCAGAGAGAUAGCCGAAGCAGUGACAUCGAAGUGAUACAGGACCAUAGAGAUAUGAGCUCUCAGCCAAUACUCCUGCACCAUAUCUGUCAGUCUGCUACCAUAUUUCCCAUCAUGAUGGUCAUGAACUCAUCCUCUGAAACUCUCUCCUUCCCAUGGUCCCCUUCACACAUACUGAGGCCAGAUAGUGAGUGCUUCCCACUGGAAUGUUGACUGACCUUGUUGGCUUGACCUGAUCUAGGUUUUGUACAGAUGACCACAGACACACCAAAGCUCAUCUGGAAUUCACUAUGUAACCCACGCUGGCCUUGAACUCACGAUUCUCUUGUCUCAGUCUCCCAAGCAUGAGCAAUACAACUGUGACUCCUCCUUUCUCAAGCUUGGAGAUGGGUAUCAGUUCUCGCCAUUUCCUUCCUAUGCACUGUUCUACUAAACACCGGGAGCUUCUACCAGAGAGUCUGUGUCUUCAGCCACCUUUGUGAUGACUACACAUUCAUAUGCUCUAACAUGCAUUGCAUAGACCAUGCUGAUUUUCUACAGCAUGAGUAUUGGAGAACACUAUUCAAACCACGGUAUACGGUUCCCCGAGUGAGGAACUAGAGUUAAGAAGCAAGCUGCCCCUACCAUGGCUCUCUUGGGCAGCAGCCAGGCUUGAUCCUUGUGGUUUCUUCAGAUGCACCACCUGCAGGCUCGCCUCCAACCUCUGUGCAUUGUCUGCCUGAAGUACUUUUCCCCCAAGCUGUGUCUGCCAGAUCCGCAACAGCCUCCAGUUCUCAGCUUCCAGGUCAUUUCCUUAGGCAAGUCCCUGCUGACCUGGGAGACAAGCAGGGUUCCUCAGUGACCCAGGACCUGUCUCAGUCCCCAUCAAACGUCAGAGAGACUCCUCUCUUCCCUCCUUUCUUCUGUAACCUGCAGAGGGAGGACACAGAGCACAUCUGUUUGGCUGGCUGUUGUCUUCCCAGGACCUGGCGGAUGAUUUGGCGAGUGCAGGGCCGGCUUUUUGGGCAGCUUUCCCUGUGCUGGGGAUACAAGUGUGAGUCACCACACCAACCCGGGGAUGACCUGAGUUGGAGUCCACAUGGUGGAAGGAGAGAACUGAC